AAAAAAAUAGAAGAAAAAAA
rnacentral:sRNA from 1 species